CUCUAAGAUACAUUAAUUUUAACACUCAUAUUUGCUAAUUUUUGUUAAAGAAGUUUCUUACUUCCCUCAAAAAAAUGCUCCAUGACACAUUUUUUUUUCCAGUUAAAGAGAACUGAAUUAUUUUGGUGGAGGAUUUUUAAGCAAACUUUGGGGUUAUUGCAAGCAAGCUGCCAGUUCUUAAAGACAGUGUUGUCAAUUACUGACUUUAGAGGGUGAAUUUUCUCCAAAUUGCCUAUAUGAUGUCACCAAAAUUUUCUUUUCUAACUCCCACAAAUAGUUUUGGUACCCUGCCCCUCCUACACAAAUUCACUUUGGAGAUUUGCAAGGGAUUUAAUUCUGGAUGUGGCCUAGGGCUUGACAAGCAACUUCCUGGAAAGGCUUUGCAAGAAGAGCUUCUUAGAUGAAAAUCAUCCUGGCUCAGUUCAGCUUUCCUCUUGGUGUGAAAGUCCGUUAUGACUCAUGCAAUUGUUUAGUUUACAUUGGCCCUUCUUAGGGAUCUACAAGGACAUGAUACAGUGUGCUCAUAUCAAAGUUAUAAUAUUUUUAAAAGAGACAACUUGGGAGAAAGCCACAAUGGAUUCUGAUACUUCUUUAUUUAAAAAAUCCAAGUUAACCUCAAAUAUGUUACCUUUAUCUCCCUAGAACAGAAGAGAAAUACGAAGACCUUAAAGCUAACCAAUACUCAUUGGUAUUUCAGGAGGCUGACAACAGAAUGUUUCUGUUGGUAGAGAAUGACAACUAUCAACUGAUUUCCAAAGAGAAAAUGAAGAAUAAGGGAAUAAAGGAAAACUACCCAAAGUCAACAUGAGAAUGCCAUCCUUCUCCAGAGAAGACAUACAGAUGGCCAACUGUUAUAUGAAAAGAUGCUCAACAUCACUAAUCAUCAGGAAAAUGCAAAUCAAAACACGGUGAGAUCCGGCCAAGGCCACAAACCUGGGAAGUCCUCAGCCAUCUGCUGAGCAUGGAUGGAUUCUAGGGCCUGGCCAUCUUGACAGGACGUGUCUAAUCAGCAGUCUUCUACCCACAGUUCCUAUGGGGUUGGUUGAGUUUAUCUAAAGCCCUCCUUUCCUCCCUGCCUUCCUUUCAGAAGGGUCAGAUGUGCACUGUUCUAAUGGCUUUCCUGCCCAA